rnacentral:tRNA from 1 species
AGCCCUGUAGUACAGUGGUCAAGUAUAGGAGGUUCUGGACCUUCUGACCCAGGUUCGAAUCCUGGCAGGGCUA